CGUGAGUCCCCCUAUAGCCUGGUGGCCUCCAACACCCUGCUGGUGGCCUGACCGUCCUGGCCCUCCCUGGCCAGCCGUCCACCACCACCUUCACCCGGCAGCCGUCCACCACCACCUUCACCCGGCAGCCGUCCACCACCACCUUCACCCGGCAGCCGCUGCAGCGGAACAAUGGGAGGAUCACAGGCUACGUGAUAUUCCUCACCACGGACCAAACUGUCAGUGACUGGGUGACGGGGGAAGUGACGGGGGACUGGCUCACCCCUACCGUCCAUGGACUGACGCCUUCAAGGAAGUAUUUGCACAAGAUGCACACUCACAGUGUCAAAGGUUUUGGUCCAUUCUCCUCCGUGGAAAGCUUCACGACUCUUCCAGCUGUUGACAAGAGCAUCGGUGAGCCCCCAGGCUGAUGUGUGGAGCGAGAGGCCUGAUUGUGCUGGUGAUCGCUGGCGUGGCAGAAGCCAUGACCAACUGGGGGCCUUCUUGGCCACCACACUGUACUGCCGCGGGUCAAGGCGGAGCCCAGGCCAAGCAUUGUUCUUGGCGGCAGCUGCAGUGAGAGCAACAAGCCUGGCGUCCAGCCUCCAGACCUGUGGAUCCAUCACAGCCACUUGGAGCUGAAGAACUUUGACAAGGGUGAGCACAGCAACUCCCCCAACCACGCCUCCAUCAUCCAGCACACAGGAGUCGCGUCACAUCACAAUGGGACCGAAAAAGGACGAGAAGGGACAAGACAAGAAGAAAAGGUCUUCUGCUGCCGCUGCUGCCUCUCCUGAUGAUGAUGAGCAACAAGAAGACACUCAAGAACAACCUGCCAAGAAAGUGAAGGGACGAUCCAAGAAGAGGUCAUCGUCUGCUACCGGGGAGACACCCCCUCCUCCAGCCCUCUUGCGUCACCAAUCCACUUGGACACAGGAGCCCCAACCUGGUCAUGAUGAUGCUGGGGCCUCAGCAUCACCAGACCUUGGGAGCAGCAGCAGCCCAGUGCCAACACCAGGCCACAAGACCCCGGGCUGCCCAGCCCACUGCCAGUGCCGGGGAUCUUCAGACCCGUCUCCAGCCUUAGGGAAUGGAGGAUAUGAGG